UCAUCAUGGCCCUUACGACCAGGGCUACACACGUGCUACAAUGGCGCAUACAAAGAGAAGCGACCUCGCGAGAGCAAGCGGACCUCAUAAAGUGCGUCGUAGUCCGGAUUGGAGUCUGCAACUCGACUCCAUGAAGUCGGAAUCGCUAGUAAUCGUGGAUCAGAAUGCCACGGUGAAUACGUUCCCGGGCCUUGUACACACCGCCCGUCACACCAUGGGAGUGGGUUGCAAAAGAAGUAGGUAGCUUAACCUUCGGGAGGGCGCUUACCACUUUGUGAUUCAUGACUGGGGUGAAGUCGUAACAAGGUAACCGUAGGGGAACCUGCGGUUGGAUCAC
rnacentral:rRNA from 1 species